AGGACAAUGCAAAUUUACAGACCAAUAAAUUAGGGGAUGAUUAGUCACGUUGCCAUCUUUCUUCAAAGGAUUCUUUAAAGGCUGAGCUCGUUCAUUUAAGUGUCUGUUUAGAGCUCAGUAACUUCCAGACUGAGAGGCUGGGAGGCCCCACCGAAGAGCAAGGGAAACUAAGAAGAUGCAGGGAAAAAGGCAGAGGCACCCCUUCCUUAACCAGCCUGGGGAUGAACGUCCCUGAAAGGUCAGCAGAGUUGUCUGGAUCGUGUUGAUUCAAAUGACGUUUGCCCAGUACCUACUAUAUGCUGGGUACAGUCUCGACACUGGAGAGGUGACCAGACAGGACCCCAGACCCUCAAGACGUUCACAGGGUGGGAGUGGUGGGGGGACAGUAACAGUGAUCAGAUUCAUACUGGUUUCCAGUAGACGAGAUGCAAUUUCCAGGCAACCUUUUCUGAGCACAACUACUGCCAAACGUCAGGGACAGUCCACGUGCACGAUGGUGGAAGGAAGGAUGAAUCGAUAAAGGAUGGGAUUUUUUUUUUUUAAAGGAAAACGAAUAUAAACGCCAUGGUUUGUCCGGCUUUCCCAAAGAACAAAUGCAGAGUUUGGCCUUCAUGGAAGUAAUUGCCCUAGAGUCCUUUGCUAUGUGACCUGGAUCAAGUCCCUCAGCACUCAGCACCUCGAGCACCAGUGACCGCAGGCAGACAGGAAGAGAUGAGCUCACGCCCUGAUCCCUGGCCCCUGGGAUCACUGAGGAAUCUCUUCCAAGGGUGAAGAGAGGCUUGCUGGAUCCCCGCCACCCACCACUCGAAGCCA
rnacentral:lncRNA from 1 species